AACCAUAGAAACCUGCGGAGUACCUGCGGAAGGAUCAUUAAUUGCCGACCACUAUUUGUCGGUUUGAGGGCAUGGAAAUUUUAAAAGCCUGGGUACGCCUACUUUUAAAAGAGUACAUUCCUUUCUACCCUUGUUCUUUUGCGCACUCAUGUUUCCUCGGCAGGUUAGCCUGCCGAUUGGACAAUUAAAACCCUUCAUUUCUCAAUCAGCGUCUGAAAAUAAUAAAUAUUUACAACUUUU
rnacentral:misc_RNA from 1 species